CAGAUGUGUCUGCAGGGACGACUUCACCAACUCCUACCCUGGAUGCUGCACAAAAGCCCAGCUCCUAUGGCAGGGGUCCUACGACAGGAGAAACCAAAGACUUGGCCGGCAAGAAAUUCCAGGACCCAUUAGAAAUCAUGUGGCAAAUGCUGAAGGAAUGUCUGCAGAGAAGACAAGAAAUCAAAGGAGAGCCUGUGCAGAAGGAAGCAUUUCCCGGAGGAAGCAGUGGUUCCGUGCCAGCCUCUGCUGCAGGAAGGGAGGCCAUGCCAGGCACAGACACAGGAG